rnacentral:rRNA from 1 species
GACGAACGCUGGCGGCGUGCUUAACACAUGCAAGUCGAACGGAGUGGCGAACGGACGAGUAACAAGUGGGUGACCUGCCCUGCCCUUCGGGGUAAGCAUGGGAAACUGGGUCUAAUACCGGAUAGUGUGGGAGGGGCCAGGGGCCUAUCAGCUGGUUGGUGGGGUAAUGGCUUACCAAGGCGGCGACGGGUAGCCGGCCUGGGAGGGUGGACGGCCACAGUGGGACUGAGGAACGGCCCAGACUGCUACGGGAGGCAGCAGUGGAGAAUAUGGCACAAUGGGCGGAAGCAGGAUGCAGCGACGCCGCGUGGGGGAUGACUGCCUUCGGGGUGUAAACUCCUUUCACCAUCGACGCGGUAGAUGGAGAGGAAGCACCGGCUAACUACGUGCCAGCAGCCGCGGUAAUUC